UGCAAGUCGAGCGGCAGCGCGGGGAAGGGUAACCUUUCCUGGCGGCGAGCGGCGAACGGGUGAGUAAUGUAUCGGAACGUACCUUGUCGUGGGGGAUAACGCACCGAAAGGUGUGCUAAUACCGCAUAAGACCUGAGGGAGAAAGCGGGGGACCCGUAAGGGCCUCGCGCGAUAAGAGCGGCCGAUAUCUGAUUAGCUAGUUGGUGGGGUAAAGGCCUACCAAGGCGACGAUCAGUAGCUGGUCUGAGAGGACGACCAGCCACACUGGGACUGAGACACGGCCCAGACUCCUACGGGAGGCAGCAGUGGGGAAUUUUGGACAAUGGGGGCAACCCUGAUCCAGCCAUUCCGCGUGAGUGAAGAAGGCCUUCGGGUUGUAAAGCUCUUUCGGUGGGGAAGAAACGGCGCGGGCUAAUACCCUGCGUUAAUGACGGUACCCAAAGAAGAAGCACCGGCUAACUACGUGCCAGCAGCCGCGGUAAUACGUAGGGUGCGAGCGUUAAUCGGAAUUACUGGGCGUAAAGCGUGCGCAGGCGGUUAUUUAAGACAGAUGUGAAAUCCCCGGGCUCAACCUGGGAACUGCGUUUGUGACUGGAUAGCUGGAGUAUGGCAGAGGGGGGUGGAAUUCCACGU
rnacentral:rRNA from 1 species